CCCGUGGAGGCGAGACGUUCGGUACCUGGUGCGUCCUUAGAGUCGGGUUGUUUGGGAAUGCAGCCCUAAGCGGGUGGUAAACUCCAUCCAAGGCUAAAUACCAGCACGAGUCCGAUAGCGAAGAAGUACCGCGAGGGAAGGUUGAAAAGAACUUUGAAGAGAGAGUUCAAGAGUACGUGAAACCGCUGAGAGGCAAACUGGUGGAACUGAAAUGGUCCCGAGGAAUUCAGCCGUUGGUCGUUGCACAGUCUUUGGUGAAUGAUCUAACGACGGCGCCAUUGAAUGACGUUCCGAUCAUCGGUGCACUUUCCUCGCCUGGGCCCGACCACGACCGGUGAGCUGAUCUGUCUGUCGUGCUUGGAAGAUAGCGCCGUCUUCGGAAGGCGUGUUAUAGACAGGCAUACGGAGCAGUCGGCGCACUGGAUGAUAGUGCCUGCCCAUCUGGGCUCAUAUGGUGGUUGUUUUGUUGGCGAGUUCUGAUGUCACUACUUCGGUAGAGUCGUUAGACUCUGUUGGCAUUAUGGCUGUCCUCUAUGAUUGGCACUGUUAAGUCGGUGGUUGUGAAGUAGGUAGUCCACCUGACCCGUCUUGAAACACGGACCAAGGAGUCUAACAUGUGCGCGAGUCAUUGGGUUCACGAAACCUAAAGGCGCAGUGAAGGUAAAGAUCUGUUUUGGCAGAUUGAGGUGGGAUGCCGGGUUACGCGCCCGGCCGCACUACCGGCCCGUUCUAUAUGUCUUUCAUAGGAGCGGAGCAAGAGCGUACACGUUGGGACCCGAAAGAUGGUGAACUAUGCUUGCGCAGGUCGAAGCCAGAGGAAACUCUGGUGGAGGACCGCAGCGAUUCUGACGUGCAAAUCGAUCGUCAAACGUGAGUAUAGGGGCGAAAGACUAAUCGAACCAUCUAGUAGCUGGUUCCCUU
rnacentral:rRNA from 1 species